AGGUGGACCCCCCGAGUUCCCAGCAAGCCCGGCCCCAGCCCUGGGCCCAGGUGAGAGCGGCCCCCCACCCAGCCCCCCACAGACCCACAUCCAGGGUCAGCAACAGGGCAGCAAAGCAGUAGCUUGGAGGCAGCGCUGGCCAAAGCCCCUGCCUGAGUUCAAGCCCGAGGGACCUGACGGCUAAGGAGGGACCCCCAGGGGCCAUGACUCCAGGCCCCCGCUUGGGACCCAGCAGCCGUCUCUCAGGAGGGCCACAGAUGGGCACAGCCUCGUCACCAGGAGGGGGGCCCCAUCUGGCUAGCCCUGCAAGGACAAGGGCCCUGGGGCCUCGGGGCGAGCUGGCCGCAGCAACGUGCUAUGCUCAGGGAGCCCUGCUCACCUGGAUCAGGUGGAGGCAGGUGUGGCCCCUGUGCUCGGGGCAGGUUCGCCUGGCUGCCGCCCAGCCGUCUGUUUACCUGGCAGUAGAGCCGCCGUCGCGAUGGAGGGUAUUUAUGGGCUGCUGCGUGUGCCCGCCUGCUGCCUGUCCCCUGCUCCAUCCCAGGAAGCCCGGACUCAGGACAGCGGGGCCAGUGGGUGACCAGGCGGUGGGCACAGGUGCCAUAAAACUGUUAAGUUAAAGGAGCAAGCAGCUUC